CUUAAAAGAUUAAGUGAACUAUGGAAGGCAAAAUUAAUAAAUUUAGCGGGGCAACAUUAUAAAUAAAAUAAUUAUAUAAAGGGUUUCCAAGGGGCACUAGGGGCAAGUGCCCCCUUGCUCCAUGCUAAAUCCGCCACUGCUAGGUUUUACCAUACAAGGGGUGGCAGAAGCGAGGAGUUUGUCAACUAUUGGAUUCAAGUUGGCCAUAUGAAGUGUGAAUGCAUUCCAUGUAAUUACAAAAUUCUAGCUUAGUUGAAGGGAAGUUUUAUAGGACUGUGAUUUAGUUAGCUAUGAUGUAGAAGAUAGAGAAUUUAGAG
rnacentral:misc_RNA from 1 species